rnacentral:rRNA from 1 species
CACUUAGAUGUUCUGGGCCGCACGCGCGCUACACUGAUGCAUUCAACAAGCCUAGCCUUGACCGAGAGGUCCGGGUAAUCUUUGAAACUGCAUCGUGAUGGGGCUAGAUUAUUGCAAUUAUUAAUCUUCAACGAGGAAUGCCUAGUAAGCGUGAUUCAUCAAAUCGCGUUGAUUACGUCCCUGCCCUUUGUACACACCGCCCGUCGCUCCUACCGAUUGAAUGUGUUGGUGAGGAGCUCGGAUUGGCAGCAGUUGGUGGUUCGCCACCGGCUAUUGCUGAGAAGUCCUCCAAACCGCCCCAUUUAGAGGAAGGAGAAGUCGUAACA